rnacentral:lncRNA from 1 species
UUGGCCAGCUACCAUCAGAAUUAGCUCAUUGUUCAAUAUAACCAGCGCUGGCAAGCAAAACCCAGCCGGGAGAGGGAACGGGCGGAGGGAGGGGGGGGGAGGGGGGCGGGGGUGAGAGAGAGAGACUUUCCCCCAGCCACCCCCACCCCUUUUUUUCUUUUUUUUUUUUCUCCGAGGCUGCACUUUGGAAGAGAUCAUGUAGAAAGGACAGAAAGUGAGCAGGGAGCGGGGGCUUUUGUCUGUUUAUCAGCCAGGUUCAAUGAUUUGGAUAAGCCAGAAUAUCUUUCCAACCAGCCGUGGGGAUGGGGGAUUUCCAAAGGUAAAGUUAUUUAUGUGAUUUCUUUCAUACAAUAGUUUGCUAGGAUGAAAGUUUUUGGGAUGAAAAUUUAAAAUUGAAAACUCAAUGGAUUUUAUUUUACAACCACUUCCAGAAAGUAGGCAGCUCUCCUGAUUUCAUCACGAGUCUCAUGUUGCUCUGUUUUUCUUAAAGCCUUGGCUCCUUGCACCAUGCAGUUAACUGAAGAGCUCGGUUUUCAUUUUAUAAUUAUGUUUUUAGCCUUCAGGCUUGCAGAAAACAUGGACUCUUGCUGGCUGCACACCAGAAGAAAAAUAUACUAAUUUUCAAAGGCUCAUAUUUCUUAAGCUUGUCUCACAAUUUUACAAGCUUGACAUCUAAGUUUUGCAGGCUUAAUUUUGGCAAUGCUUUUCUAGCAAUGCAGAUGAAAAAGUCCAUGAUAAUGCAGCAGGAGGAGCUGGGUGAUAUUGCUUAUGUUUUGUUAAGUAUCUUGCUUGUGGUUACCUGGCUUGAGUGACAAGCAUACAAAGCAUGGCACUUUUCAUGUGAGUUUGACAAGAAGUUCCACAUACAAAGGCAGAAGAUGUGGCUCACCAGACAGCCUUAAUAAGAUUUUAUUCUAUUACCAUUACUGGUGUAAAAAUGUGAAACUGGACAUGAAAUUUCAGUAGUGAAAUAUAACAGAUCACUCAGAACCACAGGAUGUACAUGUUUUAUUUUCAUAUUCCCUUUCAAUUACUUGCUCAAGCAGGUAAGUAAAGAAGGGAACACAUGGAAAAUUUCUUUGAUUAAGUUUCAGUUUCAGGGGUUUUUUUGGUUUUUUUUUUUUUUUUUUUUAAGUUACAUUUUUUUUCCUCUACAAUGGAAUUUCUAAAGUUUAUAGAUGGAGUAUUUGCAGCCUCAUGUGCCAGCCUGCCAGUUUUUCAACUAGCAUAUAUGGCAGCACUGUGAUUCUUAGCAUUCACAGUAUUCCAAAAGUUCAGCUGAGAAAGCUGGUAGCAGUGCCAGAGCAAGAUUAAUGUGCUCUGUAGGGUCAUACUUACACCAAAUGAAUUUGCUAAUUUUAUGAAUCAGCUAUGUGUUAACUAGAUGAUUUUUAUUCAAAAUUUUAAGUUAGAAGCUUUAAGUAAGUUGCCAUUCAUCAUUAAACAAAGUUUCUC